rnacentral:rRNA from 1 species
UGAAUACGAGACGCUAAGGCGUUGAAGUAGUGUAUGUCAUACUUCCAAGAAAAGCUUGCACUGUCAUAGAUAAAAAACGCCUGUACCAUAACCGACACAGGUGGGUAGGUAGAGUAUACUAAGGGGCGCGAGAUAACUCUCUCUAAGGAACUCGGCAAAAUAACUCCGUAACUUCGGGAGAAGGAGUGCCUUAUUUAUAAGGCUGCAAUAACAAGAUCCAAGCAACUGUUUAUCAAAAACACAGGUCUCCGCUAAGUCGUAAGACGAUGUAUGGGGGCUGACGCCUGCCCAGUGCCAGAAGGUUAAAGAAGUUGGUUAGCAAUAGCGAAGCUGAUAACUGAAGCCCUGGUGAACGGCGGCCGUAACGAUAACGGUCCUAAGGUAGCGAAAUUCCUUGUCGGGUAAGUUCCGACCCGCACGAAAGGCGUAAUGAUUUGGAUACUGUCUCGGAGAGGGGCUCGGUGAAAUAGACUUGUCUGUGAAGAUGCGGACUACCUGCACCAGGACAGAAAGACCCUAUGAAGCUUUACUGUAACUUGAAAUUGAAAUUGGACUUUAUUCGCGCAGUAUAGGUGGGAGGCGUUGAUUGUAAUCUUGCGGGAUUAUUGGAGCCAUCAGUGAGAUACCACCCUUGUAAUGUUAGAUUUUCUAACUUUGAAUCAUUAUCUGGUCAAAGAACAGUUUCAGGCGGGCAGUUUGACUGGGGCGGUCGCCUCCUAAACGGUAACGGAGGCGUACAAAGGUUUCCUCUGAACGGUUAGAAAUCGUAUCUAGAGUGUAAAGGCAUAAGGAAGCUUGACUGUGAGACCUACAAGUCGAGCAGGGACGAAAGUCGGUCUUAGUGAUCUGACGGUACUGAGUGGAAAGGCCGUCACUCAACGGAUAAAAGUUACUCUAAGGAUAACAGGCUGAUCUCCCCCAAGAGUUCACAUCGACGGGGAGGUUUGGCACCUCGAUGUCGGCUCAUCGCAUCCUGGGGCGGUAGUACGUCCCAAGGGUUGGGCUGUUCGCCCAUGAAAGCGGUACGCGAGCUGGGUUCAGAACGUCGUGAGACAGUUCGGUCCAUAUCCGGUGUAGGCGUUAGAAUAUUGAGAGGAGCCUUCUUUAGUACGAGAGGACCGAGAAGGACAUACCUCUGGUGUACCAGUUAUCGUGCCAACGGUAAACGCUGGGUAGCUAUGUAUGGAGUGGAUAACCGCUGAAAGCAUCUAAGUGGGAAGCCCACCUCAAGA